rnacentral:rRNA from 1 species
AGAGUUUGAUCCUGGCUCAGAUUGAACGCUGGCGGCAGGCCUAACACAUGCAAGUCGAGCGGAUGAUGGGAGCUUGCUCCCGGAUUCAGCGGCGGACGGGUGAGUAAUGCCUAGGAAUCUGCCUGGUAGUGGGGGACAACGUUUCGAAAGGAACGCUAAUACCGCAUACGUCCUACGGGAGAAAGCAGGGGACCUUCGGGCCUUGCGCUAUCAGAUGAGCCUAGGUCGGAUUAGCUAGUUGGUGGGGUAAAGGCCUACCAAGGCGACGAUCCGUAACUGGUCUGAGAGGAUGAUCAGUCACACUGGAACUGAGACACGGUCCAGACUCCUACGGGAGGCAGCAGUGGGGAAUAUUGGACAAUGGGCGAAAGCCUGAUCCAGCCAUGCCGCGUGUGUGAAGAAGGUCUUCGGAUUGUAAAGCACUUUAAGUUGGGAGGAAGGGCAGUAAGUUAAUACCUUGCUGUUUUGACGUUACCAACAGAAUAAGCACCGGCUAACUUCGUGCCAGCAGCCGCGGUAAUACGAAGGGUGCAAGCGUUAAUCGGAAUUACUGGGCGUAAAGCGCGCGUAGGUGGUUUGGUAAGAUGGAUGUGAAAUCCCCGGGCUCAACCUGGGAACUGCAUCCAUAACUGCCUGAC